UACGAAGGGUGCAAACGUUGCUCGGAAUUAUUGGGCGUAAAGCGCACGUAGGCGGCUUGGCAAGUCGGAUGUGAAAUCCCUCGGCUCAACCAAGGAAGUGCAUCCGAAACUGCUGAGCUUGAGUACUUAAGAGGAUCGCGGAAUUCCCGGUGUAGAGGUGAAAUUCGUAGAUAUCGGGAGGAACACCAGUGGCGAAGGCGGCUUCCUGGCCUGUUCUUGACGCUGAGGAGCGAAAGCGUGGGGAGCGAACAGG
rnacentral:rRNA from 1 species